ensembl:snoRNA small nucleolar RNA U85
GCCCAGUGAUGAGACCAAGGCGAAUACGAGCUUACUGAAUGAGAGUUGGGUGCUUCUUUGCGUUGACUGGCAGGUAAUCUUGGCAGUGCAGGGGAGGAUUGCUGCUCUGCUGUAAGGGCCUGCCUACAGUGCCUGGCUCAACCCAAAUUAUUCUUCUACAGUCAAAGUGGAGUAAUUACUCUGUUGAUGCUGACAGUGUGUGUGUGUCUGUCUGUGUAAAAAGCAAAAAGUUAUCCCAGCUUUCUAUUCUGUUCAGCCAGCCAUGAGUUGCGUCUUUGGUAAUCUGAGGGCA